rnacentral:rRNA from 1 species
GACGAACGCUGGCGGCGUGCUUAACACAUGCAAGUCGAACGAGAAGAGAUGAGAAGCUUGCUUCUUAUCGAUUCGAGUGGCAAACGGGUGAGUAACGCGUAAGCAACCUGCCCUUCAGAUGGGGACAACAGCUGGAAACGGCUGCUAAUACCGAAUACGUUCUUUUGUCGCAUGGCAGAGGGAAGAAAGGGAGGCUCUUCGGAGCUUUCGCUGAAGGAGGGGCUUGCGUCUGAUUAGCUAGUUGGAGGGGUAACGGCCCACCAAGGCGACGAUCAGUAGCCGGUCUGAGAGGAUGAACGGCCACAUUGGGACUGAGACACGGCCCAGACUCCUACGGGAGGCAGCAGUAGGGAAUAUUGCACAAUGGAGGAAACUCUGAUGCAGCCAUGCCGCGUGUGU